AACCAGACUCCUACGGGAGGCAGCAGUGGGGAAUAUUGCACAAUGGGGGAAACCCUGAUGCAGCGACGCCGCGUGAGCGAGGAAGUAUUUCGGUAUGUAAAGCUCUGUCAGCAGGGAAGAAGAAUGACGGUACCUGAAGAAGAAGCACCGGCUAAAUACGUGCCAGCAGCCGCGGUAAUACGUAUGGUGCAAGCGUUAUCCGGAUUUACUGGGUGUAAAGGGGGCGCAGACGGCGAUGCAAGCCAGGAGUGAAAGCCCGGGGCCCAACCCCGGGACUGCUCUUGGAACUGCGUGGCUGGAGUGCAGGAGGGGCAGGCGGAAUUCCUGGUGUAGCGGUGAAAUGCGUAGAUAUCAGGAGGAACACCGGUGGCGAAGGCGGCCUGCUGGACUGCAACUGACGUUGAGGCCCGAAAGCGUGGGGAGCAAACAGGAUUAGAUACCCUAGUA
rnacentral:rRNA from 1 species